rnacentral:rRNA from 1 species
GAUGAACGCUGGCGGCGUGCUUAACACAUGCAAGUCGAACGAAGCAUUUAAAACAGAUUAUUUCGGUAUGAAGUUUUUUAUGACUGAGUGGCGGACGGGUGAGUAACGCGUGGGUAACCUGCCUUGUACUGGGGGAUAACAGCUGGAAACGGCUGGUAAUACCGCAUAAGCGCACGGUGCUGCAUGGCACAGUGUGAAAAACUCCGGUGGUAUAAGAUGGACCCGCGUCUGAUUAGCAAGUUGGUGAGAUAACAGCCCACCAAGGCGACGAUCAGUAGCCGACCUGAGAGGGUGACCGGCCACAUUGGGACUGAGACACGGCCCAGACUCCUACGGGAGGCAGCAGUGGGGAAUAUUGCACAAUGGAGGAAACUCUGAUGCAGCGACGCCGCGUGAGUGAAGAAGUAAUUCGUUAUGUAAAGCUCUAUCAGCAGGGAAGAUAGUGACGGUACCUGACUAAGAAGCUCCGGCUAAAUACGUGCCAGCCGCCGCAGUAA